rnacentral:rRNA from 1 species
CUGAGUACGGCGGAACACGUGAAAUUCCGUCGGAAUCCGGGAGGACCAUCUCCCAAGGCUAAAUACUCCCUAGUGACCGAUAGUGAACCAGUACCGUGAGGGAAAGGUGAAAAGCACCCCGGAAGGGGAGUGAAACAGUUCCUGAAACCGUGUGCCUACAAGUAGUUAGAGCCCGUUAAUGGGUGAUAGCGUGCCUUUUGUAGAAUGAACCGGCGAGUUACGAUUUGUUGCAAGGUUAAGCGGAAAAAGCGGAGCCGUAGCGAAAGCGAGUCUGAAUAGGGCGCAUAAGUAACAGGUCGUAGACCCGAAACCAGGUGAUCUACCCAUGUCCAGGAUGAAGGUAAGGUAAUACUUACUGGAGGUCCGAACCCACGCACGUUGAAAAGUGCGGGGAUGAGGUGUGGGUAGCGGAGAAAUUCCAAUCGAACUUGGAGAUAGCUGGUUCUCUCCGAAAUAGCUUUAGGGCUAGCCUCGAGGUAAAGAGUCAUGGAGGUAGAGCACUGUUUGGACUAGGGGCCCUUCUCGGGUUACCGAAUUCAGAUAAACUCCGAAUGCCAUGUACUUAUACUCGGGAGUCAGACUGCGAGUGAUAAGAUCCGUAGUCGAAAGGGAAACAGCCCAGACCACCAGUUAAGGUCCCCAAAUAUAUGUUAAGUGGAAAAGGAUGUGGGGUUGCUUAGACAACCAGGAUGUUGGCUUAGAAGCAGCCACCAUUGAAAGAGUGCGUAAUAGCUCACUGGUCGAGUGACCCCGCGCCGAAAAUGUACCGGGGCUAAACAUAUUACCGAAACUGUGGAUGAACCUCUUUAGAGGUUCGUGGUAGGAGAGCGUUCUAAGGGCGGUGAAGUCAGACCGGAAGGACUGGUGGAGCGCUUAGAAGUGAGAAUGCCGGUAUGAGUAGCGAAAGAAGGGUGAGAAUCCCUUCCACCGAAUAUCUAAGGUUUCCUGAGGAAGGCUCGUCCGCUCAGGGUUAGUCGGGACCUAAGCCGAGGCCGAUAGGCGUAGGCGAUGGACAACAGGUAGAGAUUCCUGUACCAGUGCUAAUUGUUUAACCGAUGGGGUGACACAGAAGGAUAGGGAAUCGCACGAAUGGAAAUGUGCGUCCAAGCAGUGAGUGUGAGAAGUAGGCAAAUCCGCUUCUCGCGAAGCAUGAGCUGUGAUGGGGAAGGAAAUUAAGUACGGAAGUUCCUGAUUUCACGCUGUCAAGAAAAGCCUCUAGGAAGAGUAGUACUGCCCGUACCGCAAACCGACACAGGUAGAUGAGGAGAGAAUCCUAAGGUGAGCGAGAGAACUCUCGUUAAGGAACUCGGCAAAAUGACCCCGUAACUUCGGGAG